rnacentral:rRNA from 1 species
GACGAACGCUGGCGGCGUGCUUAACACAUGCAAGUCGAACGGAGAUUAUUAAUGAAGCUUGCGAUUUAAUAAUCUUAGUGGCGGACGGGUGAGUAACGCGUGGGCAACCUACCCAUAAGCGGGGGAUAACAGUUGGAAACGACUGCUAAUACCGCAUAAGCUAUUGAGGUCGCAUGACCUUAAUAGUAAAGGUGGCAUUUUAAAGAUGCUAUCACUUAUGGAUGGGCCCGCGUCUGAUUAGCUAGUUGGUGGGGUAGCGGCCUACCAAGGCAACGAUCAGUAGCCGGCCUGAGAGGGUGGACGGCCACACUGGGACUGAGACACGGCCCAGACUCCUACGGGAGGCAGCAGUGGGGGAAUAUUGCGCAAUGGGGGAAACCCUGACGCAGCGACGCCGCGUGAGCGAAGAAGGCCUUAGGGUCGUAAAGCUCUGUUGUAAGGGACGAAUGUUUAUCUGACGAAUAGUCAGAUAAAGUGACGGUACCUUACCAGCAAGCCCGUAACC